rnacentral:rRNA from 1 species
CACGUAGGAGGCGAGCGUUGUCCGGAAUCAUUGGGCGUAAAGAGCGCGCAGGCGGCUUGGCAAGUCGGGUGUGAAAUCCCGGGGCUCAACCCCGUGACUGCAUUCGAUACUGUCAGGCUAGAGGUAGGUAGGGGAGAUCGGAAUUCCUGGUGUAGCGGUGGAAUGCGUAGAGAUCGGGAAGAACAUCAGUGGCGAAGGCGGCCUGCUGGGCUGUUGCUGACGCUGAGGCGCGACAGCGUGGGGAGGCAAACGAGGA